rnacentral:rRNA from 1 species
GAGGAAUAUUGGACAAUGGGCGCAAGCCUGAUCCAGCCAUGCCGCGUGCAGGAUGACGGUCCUAUGGAUUGUAAACUGCUUUUAUACAGGAAGAAACCCUACCACGUGUGGUAGAUUGACGGUACUGUAGGAAUAAGGAUCGGCUAACUCCGUGCCAGCAGCCGCGGUAAUACGGAGGAUCCAAGCGUUAUCCGGAAUCAUUGGGUUUAAAGGGUCCGUAGGCGGUUUAAUAAGUCAGUGGUGAAAGCCCAUCGCUUAACGAUGGAACGGCCAUUGAUACUGUUAGACUUGAAUUAUUAGGAAGUAACUAGAAUAUGUAGUGUAGCGGUGAAAUGCUUAGAUAUUACAUGGAAUACCAAUUGCGAAGGCAGGUUACUACUAAUAUAUUGACGCUGAUGGACGAAAGCGUGGGGAGCGAAC